rnacentral:rRNA from 1 species
UCGGCGGCGAGAAACUCCCGGGCAAGGUGACCUUCGUCUCGGCGCAGGAGCAUACAGGCCCGGUGAGCGUCGGCCCGUCGGUGGACCGAGGAAGACCGUCGCGGAGCGGCGUCGACCGUUCGUCGUGUGUUGGCGUUCGACUCGGGGGGACUGGUUCCAGUGCCCUCGGACCGCGCCGGCGCAGCGGCGGGCGCGCACGGCGUCGCGCCUGGGGUCGGUGGCGAAACGGCCGGCAACCUGUCCGACCCGUCUUGAAACACGGACCAAGGAGUCUAACAUGUGCGCGAGUCGUUGGGCGCUACGAAACCCGAAGGCGCAAUGAAAGUGAAGGCCCGGUCUCCGGCCGGCCUGGGUGGGAUCCCGGCGGUCUCGGCCGUCGGGCGCACCACCGGCCCGUCUCGUUCGUUACGUCGAGGAGGCGGAGCAAGAGCGUACACGUUGGGACCCGAAAGAUGGUGAACUAUGCCCGAGUAGGACGAAGCCAGAGGAAACUCUGGUGGAGGUCCGCAGCGAUUCUGACGUGCAAAUCGAUCGUCAAACUUGGGUAUAGGGGCGAAAGACUAAUCGAACCAUCUAGUAGCUGGUUCCUGUCGAAGUUUCCCUCAGGAUAGCUGGCGCUCGUCGUGAGCAGUUUUAUCCGGUAAAGCGAAUGACUGGAGGCCUUGGG